rnacentral:SRP_RNA from 1 species
GGGGGAGGUUUCCUGUAACUCAGUUGCUGAGCCAGUUAAAAUAGAACGCAUGCUGGCUGCAGGUGCAGCCCAAAUUUCAACCUCUGUUGAUUCAUUGUCUUCCUUACGCAGUGGUUCGGUAGUCACGGUACGGGAGCGUACCUGCAGCUAUCGGUUAACGUAGACCGAACCGGGUGAGGCCGGAAACGGAGCAACUCACAGGUUUCGCCGCUAUGAGUUGGAAGAUCGCGAUGAAGAGGGGGUUGUGUUGGGCUCUGCAGCCCAGCAUGCGAACUUUUAU